CCCGGCCGACGGCCCACCUGGGCUUCGUGAACAGUGGGAGGGAGAGUCUGGGGCCAGGAGAGGGACGGUGCAGGAUCAGGGAAAGUUCCAGAAAAGUCUAAGAUCAAGAUGCAGAUAGGAUUGGAAUCCUCAGAGGUCUCCUUGGCUUGCAGAUGGCUGCACCCUUGCUAAGUCCUCACACGUUCUUUCCUCUGCACAGAACCGUGUGCUAACUCCUCAUCAAAGACCAGAAGUAGAUCCUGAAUUGUAUUCAUUCUCAUCUCUUUCUACCUCCUCCAAGACAGAAGGACAUGAUUAACUUCUUUAUCUCAAUGUCAGCCUUCAAUAGCUACAAAAGUCUAAACUGUAAAUAGCGUUGAAGCUUUGCAUAAUAAAAUUCUUUUCCCCAGUGA
rnacentral:lncRNA from 1 species